rnacentral:rRNA from 1 species
AGAUUGAACGCUGGCGGCAGGCCUAACACAUGCAAGUCGAGCGGUAGAGAGGUGCUUGCACCUCUUGAGAGCGGCGGACGGGUGAGUAAUGCCUAGGAAUCUGCCCAGUGGUGGGGGAUAACGUUCGGAAACGGACGCUAAUACCGCAUACGUCCUACGGGAGAAAGCGGGGGACCUUCGGGCCUCGCGCCAUUAGAUGAGCCUAGGUCGGAUUAGCUAGUUGGUGAGGUAAUGGCUCACCAAGGCGACGAUCCGUAACUGGUCUGAGAGGAUGAUCAGUCACACUGGAACUGAGACACGGUCCAGACUCCUACGGGAGGCAGCAGUGGGGAAUAUUGGACAAGGGCGAAAGCCUGAUCCAGCCAUGCCGCGUGUGUGAAGAAGGUCUUCGGAUUGUAAAGCACUUUAAGUUGGGAGGAAGGGUUGUAACUUAAGUACGUUGCUAACUUUGACGUUACGACAGAAUAAGCACCGGCUAACUUCGACGCCAGCAGCCG